rnacentral:rRNA from 1 species
UACAUAAGGUGCGAGCGUUAUCCGGAAUUAUUGGGCGUAAAGCGUUCGUAGGUGGUUUAUUAAGUCUAGGGUUAAAGCCCGGAGCUCAACUCCGGCCCGCUUUAGAUACUGAUAAACUAGAGUUAUAGAGAGGUAAGUGGAACUCCAUGUGUAGCGGUGGAAUGCGUAGAUAUAUGGAAGAACACCAAUGGCGAAGGCAGCUUACUGGAUAUAUACUGACACUGAGGGACGAAAGCGUGGGUAGCAAACAGG